AAAACUUUCAACAACGGAUCUCUUGGUUCCAGCAUCGAUGAAGAACGCAGCGAAAUGCGAUAAGUAAUGUGAAUUGCAGAAUUCAGCGAAUCAUCGAAUCUUUGAACGCACAUUGCGCCCCUCGGUAUUCCGGGGGGCAUGCCUGUUCGAGCGUCAUUA
rnacentral:rRNA from 1 species